GCUGUUGUAGCUCAGGGGUAGAGCACUUCCUUGGUAAGGAAGAGGUCGAGAGUUCAAUUCUCUUCAACAGCUCAA
rnacentral:tRNA from 5 species